AUUUGUUUUUUUUAUAUAUAUAUAUAAUUUUUGAUUAGGGUUUGCUUUUCUUGUAAAUACUUUGCUACCAUUUUUUUCUGCCUAACCGGCUAAACCUAUUCUCUUUUGUAUGAAACAAAACUAGGUUUGCUAUUUAUUUUUUUUUUGAUUUAGUUUUAGUUUGUCCUGUUUGAUUUUUAUGUUUUAUAGUGCAGCUGCGAUUUUUAUUGGGUUCAAAAGUACACAGAACUCCGAAUUAUCUAAUCAUUGUUGAUUAUCGUAUGUUAGGGAUUUGGUUUCUGUAACACGAUGAUUCUCUUUUAUCUUCGGUUAUAUCAUGCAUUAGUGAAUUGGAUUCUGUUUUGUUUUAUUUAACCUAAUAAUCUAAUAAAUUACUCAUAGGCGCUACAAAGAAAACCGAGCUAUGAGAUAGUUUCGUGAACAAGCUGAGUCAAAAUCUGCAUUUCAAGGAGAGCUUCUCAUUUUCAUUAAUCAAGGCGACAACACCAGGUUUAGAAUGAAGAACUUCUUUCAAUAAGUAAGCAACAACCGCUUGAGAAGCUCAUCUACAACAAGAGAUGCUAAGGCCUAAAACUGGUGAACCAGUUCUUACGGUGCAACGGCAAAUGGGAUGAUGUCAAAAAUAUCAACUGACUAUGCACUAUAGGUUCAUGUAUGUUGAGGGGUGAAUAUAAUUUUGGUCCUACACGUCCUAGUCACACCUAAUGACCACACUUAUUAGGAAUGGUAAGAGAGAGAGUGUUGACUUUCCAUUGUACCUUGUCCUUCCUGAAAAGCGGGGGUCUAAAACACCACCCAAUAUUUC